rnacentral:RNase_P_RNA from 4 species
GAGAGGGGGCCGGGGGUUACGGCUUCGAGCUGGGGAAGGUCCGCCCACGCCCCCAGCGCCGCCCCUCCGCAAGGAGGCACCUCGAGAGGGGUGGGAAGGCCCACAGAAACGACACGUCCUCGGGGGGAUGACGAUGAUGCCGGUGAGGCUGAGAAUCCCCGAGGGACCGGUGAAACGGGGCCCCGGCGGCGUGCAAGCCGAUUCCCGCUAUGAGGGGCUGGGGCGAGCGGGAGGUAGGCGCUUAGCCAAAUCCCCCCAGUACAGAAGGCGGACUAUGGCCCCCACUC